GAAACCCUGCCUCCUGCUAAAGAGGUUGAGCUUUGUUUCCGGAGGCCAAGUCCAGUUAAAGACGCUGACCACGCUUCCCAGAGCUGGGCUGGCCAAAAGCCAGCAAAGAGUACUGCCUCAUUCUUGUGACUACAUUGCUUCAAAGAAUGAGUUGGCUUAUCCUGAAGGGAUUCUCUUCUAAUGAAUUGGCUGUCAGUCUGGGCUGCGCCCUUGCCUGGCAUCUGUCCCACUGGUUACUCAGACCUUGGUUUGUUUGUUUGUUUUGUUUUGUCUUUUGUCUGCUUCUGUCAUCAUUGAUCUAUGAUGUUUAGACUUAGGUUAAUGUGGUAGUUAACGUUCAACUUGGUUAGAUUUAGAAUCACUUAGGAGCCAUAACUCUGCGUAGGCCUUUAGUGUUUCUCCCAAAUGGACUAAUGUGGGUGGUGGAGUCCCAAGAUGAUUAAAAAAAAAUCAAGUAUGGAGAUCUCUGUUCAUCUCCAUCUACUUCCUGACUGUGGAUAUGGCGUGACCAGCCACUCCACACUUCCACCAUCUUGCCUUUGCUUCCAUGAUAUACUGUAUCCCUUCAGAUCAUGAGCCAAGAUCUCUUCAGAAAUAAGAAUACUUCUCCCUUCAAGUGCUGUUUUUCAGGGAUUUGAUCACAGGAAUAAAAAAAAAAAAGUAAUUUCAAGUGGGCUGGAUUUGUAACUCAGUUUGUUGAAUGUUUAUCUAGUAUCCAUGAAGCCUAGUGUUUGAGCCCUGCAUAGUGGUGUAUGGUGGCGCACGUCUGUAAUCCCAGCACUCUGGAGAUAGGGGCAGGAGGGUCAGAAGGUCAAGGUCAUCCUUGCCUACACAGUAAGUUCAAGGCCAGUCUGGGAUAUAUGAGAUCAUGUCUUCUUCUUUAAAGAAGGAAGAAACGGAGAGGAAGAGGAAAAGGAGGAAGAGG
rnacentral:lncRNA from 1 species